AUAAUGGGUCAGCGACUUAUAUUCUGUAGCAAGGUUAACCGAAUAGGGGAGCCGAAGGGAAACCGAGUCUUAACUGGGCGUUAAGUUGCAGGGUAUAGACCCGAAACCCGGUGAUCUAGCCAUGGGCAGGUUGAAGGUUGGGUAACACUAACUGGAGGACCGAACCGACUAAUGUUGAAAAAUUAGCGGAUGACUUGUGGCUGGGGGUGAAAGGCCAAUCAAACCGGGAGAUAGCUGGUUCUCCCCGAAAGCUAUUUAGGUAGCGCCUCGUGAAUUCAUCUCCGGGGGUAGAGCACUGUUUCGGCAAGGGGGUCAUCCCGACUUACCAACCCGAUGCAAACUGCGAAUACCGGAGAAUGUUAUCACGGGAGACACACGGCGGGUGCUAACGUCCGUCGUGAAGAGGGAAACAACCCAGACCGCCAGCUAAGGUCCCAAAGUCAUGGUUAAGUGGGAAACGAUGUGGGAAGGCCCAGACAGCCAGGAUGUUGGCUUAGAAGCAGCCAUCAUUUAAAGAAAGCGUAAUAGCUCACUGGUCGAGUCGGCCUGCGCGGAAGAUGUAACGGGGCUAAACCAUGCACCGAAGCUGCGGCAGCGACGCUUAUGCGUUGUUGGGUAGGGGAGCGUUCUGUAAGCCUGUGAAGGUGUACUGUGAGGUAUGCUGGAGGUAUCAGAAGUGCGAAUGCUG
rnacentral:rRNA from 1 species